ACAAAAGGAUCUCACAGAUGUGGUCCCUGACACUCCAGCCACCUCUGCUGCCCCAGUCUCACCUCCAGCUGAGGCUCAGAGGAACAAAAUAAAGAAAGCUUCCUGGUGGCAUAGAUGGAUUUUUUGUAAGAAAAAGUCAAAAGCUCUUCCCAAAAAUGAAGACAAGGUAGAAGACACGGUCGUGCCACCUUCUGAGCCAGAACAGAGUGUUAACCCCGUCAGCCAGUCUGAGGAUGUUCUGGAGAAGGACUCAGCAGGUCCGAAGCCUCCAGUCUCAGCUGUACCUGACAAAGAAGCUGUGGCACAUGAAACAUUCCUGCCACCUUCUGCUACAGAUCUGAGCACUGACAUAUGUGAAGUCAAGGACGUUGGUGUCCAGACGGAGGUUUCGUGUUCUCCCAACUCGCUGCUGUUUUUCUGCACGGU